AGUCAUAUGCUUGUCUCAAAGAUUAAGCCAUGCAUGUCUAAGUAUAAGCACUUUGUACUGUGAAACUGCGAAUGGCUCAUUAAAUCAGUUAUAGUUUAUUUGAUCGUACCUUACUACUUGGAUAACCGUGGUAAUUCUAGUGCUAAUACAUGCUUUCAGCCCCGACUUCAGGAAGGGGAGUAUUUAUUAGAUACAAAACCAGUCGUAGCAAUACGUUUUCAGGUGAAUCAUGAUAACUAUUCGAAUCGCAUGGCUUUGCCGGCGAUGGUUCAUUCAAAUUUCUGCCCUAUCAACUUUCGAUGGUAGUAUAGAGGACUACCAUGGUGAUAACGGGUAACGGAGAAUUAGGGUUCGAUUCCGGAGAGGGAGCCUGAGAAACGGCUGCCACUUCCAAGGAAGGCAGCAGGCGCGCAAAUUACCCAAUCACAAUUCGUGGAGGUAGUGACAAUAAAUAACAAUACAGCACAAUGUGUCUUGUAAUUGGAAUGAGAACGAUUUAAACCCCCUAUCGAGUAGCAAUUGGAGGGCAAGUCUGGUGCCAGCAGCCGCGGUAAUUCCAGCUCCAAUAGCGUAUAUUAAAGUUGUUGCAGUUGAAAAGCUCGUAGUUGGACUUUUGGCUUGGCUGGGCGGUCUCUCAUUGAGUAGUACUUUCUGGCCUUGUCUUUCCUUCUGGAGAAGUAUGGUGCUAUUCAUUUAGUGCUGUAGGGAACCAGGACUUUUACUUUGAAAAAAUUAGAGUGUUUAAAGCAGGCUUGGCUUGAAUACAUUAGCAUGGAAUAAUAAAAUAGGACUUUGGUUUUAUUUUGUUGGUUUUCUCAACCAAAGUAAUGAUUGAUAGGGACAGUUGGGGGCAUUAGUAUUUAAUUGUCAGAGGUGAAAUUCUAGGAUCUAUUCAAGACAAACUUCUGCGAAAGCAAUCACCUAGGAUGUUUUCAUCAAUCAAGAACGAAAGUUGGGGGAUCGAAGACGAUCAGAUACCGUCGUAGUCUCAACCAUAAACUAUGCCGACCGAGGAUUGGAGAAUGUUAAUUUAUAUGACUCCAGCACUUUGCGAGAAAUCAGAGUCUUUGGGUUCCGGGGGGAGUAUGGUCGCAAGGCUGAAACUUAAAGGAAUUGACGGAAGGGCACCACCAGGCGUGGAGCCUGCGGCUUAAUUUGACCCAACACGGGGAAACUUACCAGGUCCAGACAGCGUAAGGAUUGACAGAUUGAGAGCUCUUUCUUGAUUCGUUGGGUGGUGGUGCAUGGCCGUUCUUAGUUGGUGGUGUGAAUUGUCUGGUUGAUUCCGUUAACGAACGAGACCUUCGCCUACUAAAUAGCUGCUUUAACUCUGGUUGAUGACAACUUCUUAGAGGGACUUUUGGUGUUUAACCAAGGGAAGCUGGCGGCAAUAACAGGUCUGUGAUGCCCUUAGAUGUUCUGGGCCGCACGCGCGCUACACUGACAACAGCAGCAAGUCGAGCCUUGGCCGGAAGGUCCGGGUAAUCUUGUGAAAUGUUGUCGUGCUGGGGAUAGUCCUUUGCAAUUCUUGGACUUUAACGAGGAAUUCCUAGUAAGCGCGAGUCAUCAGCUCGCGUUGAUUACGUCCCUGCCCUUUGUACACACCGCCCGUCGCUAGUACCGACUGAAUGGCUUAGUGAGACCUCCGGAUUGGUGGCUCGAUGGUGGCAACACUGUUGGGCUGGCGAAAAGCUGGUCAAACUUGGUCAUUUAGAGGAACUAAAAGUCGUAACAAGGUAACCGUAGGUGAACCUGCGGUUGGAUCAUUA
rnacentral:rRNA from 1 species